rnacentral:rRNA from 2 species
CGAACGGGUGAGUAACGCGUGAGGAACCUGCCUCAAAGAGGGGGACAACAGUUGGAAACGACUGCUAAUACCGCAUAAGCCCACGGGUCGGCAUCGACCAGAGGGAAAAGGAGCAAUCCGCUUUGAGAUGGCCUCGCGUCCGAUUAGCUAGUUGGUGAGGUAAUGGCCCACCAAGGCGACGAUCGGUAGCCGGACUGAGAGGUUGAACGGCCACAUUGGGACUGAGACACGGCCCAG